rnacentral:lncRNA from 1 species
UAAUAUUAGAGUGUAUAGUGUUACAAAUUGAUGGGAGAUAUGUGAUUGAAUUACGAGUACAAAAUGAACUUAGCAUGAUGAGGUAAAUUUCUAUAUAAUGUCGCCCAUAAAACAGAGUUAUGAAACAAAUGAAAAAUAUGAAGAAAUGAAGAGAACUUUAAAUGGGAUAUAAAGCAAUUAUGAAAACAAGAGUUGAAGUGUAUAAAGGUUCAUGAACAAUACCAUAGCAUUUUCCAUAGAUUUAAAAGUAAACAUGAACAACAUACCCCUUGUGUAUUUAGUCCCAGUACAAGCUUGCUGUUUUGUGUAUAAAAGUUUCAGGGCCUGUUUGGGCCCGAUUUUUUCACCAAAAAAAUUGAUUUUUUGAUCGUUAUUUCACUAUUCCAACCGUCAUAUUUGACUUCUUCUCUCACAGGUGGACCCCACUUUUCUCCUAACGGUUAAAAAAUCAAUUCUCAAAAUUACUCUCAAACAUGCUCUAUCAAGAUAUUUUUGGUUGAGGAAGUUAUCUACAUAUGUACGGUACAAGAAAGUUUAUUUCACACCAUCAACAGAAACAUCAUAGAAGCAACUACUACCUUGGAAUUUCUGGUCUUACUAAUCUGUUACAUUUCAAUCGGAGAGAUUUUUGAAAAAGAAUAUAAAAGAAAUUUUAACGCACACGAAAACAAUAACUUAAAACAUAAUUUGAAUGCUCUACACCAUAGGUUGUUAAGGUUGAUAAAGAAGAAAAUGUUGUAUCUUCUUGAAUUUCUAGGUCAUCGUUAGUACUCCAAUCUAUGUUGUUGCUAUCCUCUAUAGCUGCACUUUUAUCCUACAAGCAUACAUUGCUUACGUAAAGCAGGAUAGAAAUUAAUUUCAUGCUGGACAAACUUAUAGGAGGAAUAAGCUAUCCAUAUCUCCAGUAACGUGGUGGGAUGAUACUAAUAUCAAAUCUGUGAGGUAAAAAAAAUCGCAAGCAAAGUUGAAAAGUAAAGGACAGACUGAGAAUGCAUAGAAGAGAAUGAACUACCAUAUUGUUAGCAGUUUGAGAAAGCAAAAUAUUCCUAUAUUACAUAACAAUAAAUUUAAAUUGGGUUGAUGUAAUCAAUAAUAUAGGAGAAAAUAUAAAACGUGCUUUAUUUCUGUUUAGAAUGGGUCACCAUGAAUAGCAAAGAUUUAGACAAAUAUUCGAAUAUUAAGGAGGUUUCAAUUUAAUUAUUUUAACUAAGAAAAUGUUCAAAAAUUGUAGGAACCAAACCCUGAAGAACAUUUUUCCAUUCGAUUUCACACUUGGAACAUAAUUGAUACAAUGCCUCAUUUAUGCAGGCCUAACAUCAAACCUUAGAAUAAACGAAACAAAUUAAGGAAAAGAUUGAUUAAUUGAAUAUUGACGAUAGAGUUCAUAAUUUUUAAGAAUAGAAAUCAGGAAAUCGUAUAGAAAUGAAAAAUUAGACAUUAAAAAAAUUAUAGAUGAGUUCUAACCCUUUAUGCUAAAGAGAAUCGAAAAAGUAUACUACUACGGUUUGUGUUAGAAGUAAAGAUAAAAUGACCGAAUAAGUUUAGUACAUCAACAACAACCAAUGAUUACCAUGGGGAAUCUAAUUGGAAAUUACUAAAGGAAGGUGAAUUUCUACAAAAGAAUAGAAUUCUUACCUUUUUAUUGAAAUAUAUUGAAGAGGAAAAAAUCUCAGAGAUGGAUAGCAGUUAAACCUUGCACAAUAUCAACGAAUGAACCAACACUAGUUUCAAGUGAAAAGACCAGCUAAGCCACAUUUCAGAAACAAACUAUUGAACAAAGAUUCGAGAAUAUGAGAAAACAGGAAUGAGGGAAAAAUCUAAGGAAAAAUUAUUGCACAUAGAUCUAAGUUUGGUAUUUGGGCUACAUAUGCUGGUAAUGCUUACCGAAUAAAACGUGCCACCAUCAUGCUUGAAAUUCUACCAUAUGGAAUACAACCCUGCAUUUUCAAGAAGUUUUCUACGAUAAACUAAAAUUUUUAACUCAAUUAUAGAAUGAAGGAGUAAUUCGAAAAUGCUUAUUAAUUCAAAUCACAGCAUAAGGUAUUCCAACAGGGUAGGAGCUAGCUUCGAAGGGAAACAUGCUUGUAAAGGUGUCCAACCCGUCUAUCAUCCAUAGCUACAAUUCCAUUUGUUUCUAGGAAUGGAAAAUCAUAGUUGAACCUGUAAGAAUUUGCAAAAUAUAAUUUUACAUCUUGAAAAAUGAAAGACAAUAUGGGAAAAAAUAAGGAUAAUACCCUGUGUAGUGGAGAAUAAUAUCAAUAGGAUAGAAGCACCAUCCUCUCCACUUUAACACAUUCAAUAUGCAUGCCAAAGACUCUUAAUUGUUCUUCCCAAAUUGUAUGAAGGGCACAAACAAACUGAAUAGAUAUAUCACAUUGUUCUAACAAAAUACCUCAAAAGUAAUAUGAAAUGAGAACAUCCUAUCUUAAAAACAUUUAUGGAAAGUUCCCUUCCUCUCGUGUGCAUUCACUGCAGCUUCACAAUUGACAUGGACCACCAAAAUACCAAGCAGAGGCAUACUACACACAAACCGUCAGCUGAAUAUAUACGUUUAAACAGAUCAGCGAAAAAUAAAUGAAAGCAAGCAUACUCAGAGAGAAAAUAGAACUUCCCAUUUAGUCAUCUAUAUCUAUAUGUAAUAAACAUAACUUCAGUGGAAACAAUUCUUUUUUGCCUCUGGAGACGGAACCCAAUGUAAGCUACAUCAAUUUUUUAUUUUUAGAUCAUCAAAAACCUGAAGAACACCGAACACCGAACAAAUUGUUCAAACUCCCACAACAGGCAAACCCCGCAGGAAUCUCUUUCAAUCCUCGUAGAACCAUUACAAGAAAAGCAAAUAUCGACCCCAAAACGAUCACAAUAGAGCAAAGAUCGAGUAGAAACAUUACAAAAUAAGCAAAUACCCAAUGAAAAACGAACACAGCAGAACAAAAAUGGAGCAAAAACUAAAGCUUAGCGGGUAGAUUGAGGUAAAAGAAGAGGGGCCCAUGUAAAUUCUCAUAUAUAUACACAAAAGAACGACAUGCCUUAGAUCAACAUAAACGAAGAUGAAUCCAUGCCAGUUUUCACCUACAGAUGGAAUGAAUAACGACAUAGGGUAAUUAUAUCGCAAAAAAAUAAUAAUAAUAGAUAAAUAAAUAAAAAAUCAGAACAAUAUAACUUAAAUCAACGCGAGCAGAACGAGCCCAAGUCGAUUUGGAUUUACAGACACAGCGAAAAACAACACAGACUACUUAAAUUGUAAGAAAAAUGACAGAAAAAAUUUAGAGAAAACACGCCAAGAUAAUUGGAAGAACUUGUGCAGUUCUCUUACAUACGAUCGAAGGCACAGGAAAAAAUUUGAGGUUAUUUUUCUCUCUCGGAAUAAAAGGAAGGAUUUCGAGAGGAAUUGGUGGGCCGUGGGGGUAGAGGUUGGAGGAAAUGGUGGUCAAUGGCCGGUUGCCCCGGUCUUUUUUUCAAAGAGGC